AGUGAACGCUGGCGGUAGGCCUAACACAUGCAAGUCGAACGGCAGCACAGUAAGAGCUUGCUCUUACGGGUGGCGAGUGGCGGACGGGUGAGGAAUACAUCGGAAUCUACUUUUUCGUGGGGGAUAACGUAGGGAAACUUACGCUAAUACCGCAUACGACCUACGGGUGAAAGCAGGGGAUCUUCGGACCUUGCGCGAUUGAAUGAGCCGAUGUCGGAUUAGCUAGUUGGCGGGGUAAAGGCCCACCAAGGCGACGAUCCGAAGCUGGUCUGAGAGGAUGAUCAGCCACACUGGAACUGAGACACGGUCCAGACUCCUACGGGAGGCAGCAGUGGGGAAUAUUGGACAAUGGGCGCAAGCCUGAUCCAGCCAUACCGCGUGGGUGAAGAAGGCCUUCGGGUUGUAAAGCCCUUUUGUUGGGAAAGAAAGGCAGCAGGUUAAUACCCCGCUGUUCUGACGGUACCCAAAGAAUAAGCACCGGCUAACUUCGUG
rnacentral:rRNA from 1 species